rnacentral:rRNA from 1 species
UACGUAGGGUGCGAGCGUUAAUCGGAAUUACUGGGCGUAAAGCGUGCGCAGGCGGUUUUGUAAGCCAGAUGUGAAAUCCCCGGGCUUAACCUGGGAAUGGCAUUUGGGACUGCAAGGCUUGAGUGCGGCAGAGGAGACUGGAAUUCCUGGUGUAGCAGUGAAAUGCGUAGAUAUCAGGAGGAACACCGAUGGCGAAGGCAGGUCUCUGGGCUGACACUGACGCUCAUGCACGAAAGUGUGGGGAGCAAACAGG